rnacentral:rRNA from 1 species
GAUGAACGCUGGCGGCGUGCCUAAUACAUGCAAGUCGAGCGAACAGACGAGGAGCUUGCUCCUCUGACGUUAGCGGCGGACGGGUGAGUAACACGUGGAUAACCUACCUAUAAGACUGGGAUAACUUCGGGAAACCGGAGCUAAUACCGGAUAAUAUAUUGAACCGCGUGGUUCAAUGGUGAAAGACGGUUUUGCUGUCACUUAUAGAUGGAUCCGCGCCGCAUUAGCUAGUUGGUAAGGUAACGGCUUACCAAGGCAACGAUGCGUAGCCGACCUGAGAGGGUGAUCGGCCACACUGGAACUGAGACACGGUCCAGACUCCUACGGGAGGCAGCAGUAGGGAAUCUUCCGCAAUGGGCGAAAGCCUGACGGAGCAACGCCGCGUGAGUGAUGAAGGUCUUCGGAUCGUAAAACUCUGUUAUUAGGGAAGAACAAAUGUGUAAGUAACUAUGCACGUCUUGACGGUACCUAAUCAGAAAGCCACGGCUAACUACGUG